ensembl:lncRNA
AUGGCAACAAAAGGAAAAGAUAGAGCAGCGAUGUUCACGGCAACGGAACAGCGUUUGCUAUUGGAAACAUAUGAAGAAUUUAAAGAUGUCAUCACCAAAAAAGGAAAUAGAGCGGCAAUAAAUAAAGCAAGAGAGAAAGGUUGGCAGGAAAUUGCUGAUCGUCUCAAUGCCAGCAACUUAAGUGAAGGAAAAAGAACCUGGCAGCAGGUGAAAAUAAAAUAUAAAAAUAUAGUUCAGAAUGCAACCAAAAAGACUGAGGUUGCUGGCACUGGGGGAGGGCCACCACUAGCCAGCUUCACUCCUGCAGAGGAGCUGGCUUUGGAAAUUAAUAAAGGGAGGCCCGUCCUUGAGGGAAUAGAGGGGGGGUACAUCAUCUAAAAUUAUAUCACGUAGUAUAAGGAAUUCUGUAUGCUUUAUGGAUCCACCAGACAUCAUGUUGCCUGUGAGUAUGAGACCUUUUAAAUCAGUCAUGUAAGCUAAUGAGUUUAAUUGAGUUUAAUCAGUUGUCACAGGGAGAAGGCCCAUCAGUUGAGGAGGAUGAGGAGACUGUCUGUAUGUUCAAGGAGGCCUGCGGUAGUCACAGGUUCCAUGUGAUACUGUAUUGAAUAUUAAAAAGUGUACUUGUGUGAUAAAAUGAUCAUAAUGUGUUUUCAGGAUGCUGACUGUUCUAGAGCCCCCUCAGUCUGGGACCACAUGUGACAAA